UGAUGGAGCUGGGAAUACUCUG
rnacentral:miRNA from 1 species